rnacentral:rRNA from 1 species
GAUGAACGCUGGCGGCGUGCCUAAUACAUGCAAGUCGAACGAAACUUCUUUAUCACCGAGUGCUGCACUCACCGAUAAAGAGUUGAGUGGCGAACGGGUGAGUAACACGUGGGCAACCUGCCCAAAAGAGGGGGAUAACACUUGGAAACAGGUGCUAAUACCGCAUAACCAUAGUUACCGCAUGGUAACUAUGUAAAAGGUGGCUAUACUACCGCUUUUGGAUGGGCCCGCGGCGCAUUAGCUAGUUGGUAGGGUAAAGGCUUACCAAGGCAAUGAUGCGUAGCCGAAUUGAGAGGUUGAUCGGCCACAUUGGGACUGAGACACGGCCCAAACUCCUACGGGAGGCAGCAGUAGGGAAUCUUCCACAAUGGGCGAAAGCCUGAUGGAGCAACGCCGCGUGGGUGAAGAAGGUCUUCGGAUCGUAAAACCCUGUUGUUAGAGAAGAAAGUGCGUGAGAGUAACUGUUCACGUUUCGACGGUAUCUAACCAGAAAGCCACGGCUAACUACGUG